GCCUUCGUGGUGUAAUGGUCAGCACACUGAGCCGGUAUUUCAGAGGUCAGCGGUUCGAUCCCCGGCGAAGGCA
rfam:Stegodyphus mimosarum contig26190, whole genome shotgun sequence.